rnacentral:lncRNA from 1 species
UUAAGGUAUCCGACCCAUAAUUAGAAAAUAAACAACAUGCAAGAUAGUUCACAUUUUUAUCAAGGAAUGUAAGAAGGGGGGUCUAAGAGUUCUUACUAUAAAAAAAAAUCCGCAAAAUAUUUGUGGUUAACAACAGAUCUGGGUUACAGUGCCCCCCCUUUUUUGUCCUCAAAUGCCAAAUUAGGGGUAUAAAAAGUAUGUAACUUUAAAAAACCUAUGUAGUAUAAUUUACUAAUCUAUCUUUCAAAAGGAACC